rnacentral:tRNA from 1 species
GGUCCUAUAGUAUAACGGCUAUUAUGACAGGUUCUGACCCUGUAGACCUGAGUUCGACUCUCAGUAGGACCUC